AUGCCGGCCGGUUCCGGCGAGCACUGGCCGCGCGCAACACUCCCCCAAGCUCCGCCCCUCCCUCCCCGUUCCUUCCCCUUCCUCCUCUGCCCGCCCUUCUCUCUCCUCCUUCCUACCGGCGGCCGGCGAUGGGCGCGGACGAGGAGGAGCACCAGUCCCCCGCGCGGAAGCGCGAGCACGAGGAGGGGGAGGAGCCCGCGGACGCUGACGAGAAGCGCCCGCGCGGGGCGAACGAGUCAGAGGGCGCCUCACUGCUGGGCUCGCAAACUACAUGAACAAGGAGGAGGAGGAGCGCGGGGCUCCGAGGGGCACGCAAAUAGCUGGCCCCGGGAGGAGGAGGAGGAGGAAGACGAUGAGGAGGGCUCCGGAGAGGCAUCCCAGGCAGGUCGAGCUGCCCCUACCUCGACACCGUCAACCAACUAG
rnacentral:rRNA from 1 species